UCCGCAGCGAUCUUCCAGUAUCCCAUCAUGCUUCUUGAUUCCGCAAUAGCUGUGAACGGUUGUGGUGGAAGAGUGUUGUAACGUGGAACAUCAUGUCAGACAAGAAACAGCCCGUCGAUUUAGGAUUGUUGGAGGAAGACGACGAGUUUGAAGAGUUUCCAGCAGAAGACUGGACAGGAUUAGAUGAAGAUGAAGAUGCACAUGUAUGGGAAGACAACUGGGAUGAUGACAAUGUAGAGGAUGAUUUUUCUAACCAACUGAGAGGUGAACUAGAGAAGCAUGGAUACAAGAUGGAAACAUCAUAGUCUUGAAAGAAAACUUGGCUAUUUGAGUUUUAUGGACUGAACUUCAUUUAAAUAAAAAGCAUGUUAUUUUUUGACUUGUUAAAUUAAAGGUUUGUAUUAUUGAGAUUUAUCUUUUGUUUCUGUAUCCUCAUAAUAUACAUGAAUACUAAGGUGAACAUUCAAAUAAAUGUAUAAGACAGAACUACUUAAUACUCCAAACUGAAAAAAGGACAUUUUAAGUGAGUGCUGUAAUUAUUGGAUAUUUUAAGAAAAAAAAGUGCAAAAAUUUUCUACCACUGUUCACAAGUUUCAAAUUAGGUUAUUCUUUGUUUACAUGAGCUUUGAGUAAUGUACAUUUUUUUAUGGUUAUGAUCCUGUACAUGGCAAUAAGAAAAAAGUUGGACUUUUGCAACUUUUAUGUUUGUCAUAAAAUGCUUGAUUCUACAAUGGAACAGUUUACUUAGUACCAUUGUCAUGUAAAACAAGAAACAAUCUGAAAAGUGUCCAAGACAGUGAGUGGUGCAGGAUAUUUUAUAAGGCAAAGAGUGGUUGAUAGCAAACUUGGCAAAAAAAACAAGAAAGACAAAAUCUUCUCAACAUUUCAGGUGAUCUAUGCUCCUCCUUACUUCAUUAUCAGCAUGAUGGGUAAAGCCUAUACAUACAUAAAGGAACAAGUAAAGUUGUCAGGACCAGCAUCUGAAAGUCAGGUGUUAUGUGUAUGUUGGAAGUGUUGGUUUUGUUGUAUGAAAGGUGAAAUUCACUCUUGCUUUCUACUAAAUCUGCAGGUAAAUACCAAGAUUAAAGGUUAGCCUACUUUUGUUACACAGGUUGCUUUAUAUGCUUCAGUUGUAUUAAAGCAGUUUGAUUUUAA